UACGGGGGGAGCAAGCGUUGUUCGGAUUUACUGGGCGUAAAGGGCGCGUAGGCGGCCAGUGCAAGUCAGUUGUGAAAUCUCCGAGCUUAACUCGGAAAGGUCAACUGAUACUGUGCGGCUAGAGUGCGGAAGGGGCAACUGGAAUUCUUGGUGUAGCGGUGAAAUGCGUAGAUAUCAAGAGGAACACCUGCGGCGAAGGCGGGUUGCUGGGCCGACACUGACGCUGAUGCGCGAAAGCUAGGGGAGCGAACGGG
rnacentral:rRNA from 1 species